rnacentral:pre_miRNA from 1 species
CAACUACUCCCUCUGUCCCAAAUUUCUUGUCUUAUAUUUGUCUAGAUACAGAUGUAUCUAAUACUAAAAUGUGACUUGAUACAUCUGUAUCUAGACAAAUCUAAGACAAGAAUUUUGGGACGGAGGGAGUACUUU